rnacentral:rRNA from 1 species
GCCAGACUCCUACGGGAGGCAGCAGUGAGGAAUAUUGGUCAAUGGACGAGAGUCUGAACCAGCCAAGUAGCGUGAAGGAUGACUGCCCUAUGGGUUGUAAACUUCUUUUAUAAAGGAAUAAAACGAGGCACGUGUGCCUUUUUGCAUGUACUUUAUGAAUAAGGAUCGGCUAACUCCGUGCCAGCAGCCGCGGUAAUACGGAGGAUCCGAGCGUUAUCCGGAUUUAUUGGGUUUAAAGGGUGCGCAGGCGGAGGCGCAAGUCAGCGGUAAAAGCGCGGGGCUCACCCCCGCGCCGCCGUUGAAACUGUGUCCCUUGAGUGCGCGAAGGGUAGGCGGAAUGCGUGGUGUAGCGGUGAAAUGCAUAGAUAUCACGCAGAACUCCGAUCGCGAAGGCAGCCUACCGGCGCGCAACUGACGCUCAUGCACGAAAGCGUGAGUAUCGAACAGGAUUAGAUACCCCAGUACUG